GAUUUGGUGAUGCAAAGAUAGAAAUGUGGUAAGUAGUUGGUAGUAAAUAAGAGUAGUAAUAAAUAAAAGUUGGCACAGAUUCAUUCGAUUGCACAGUAUAAUCCAUUUAUCGGAAAUAACAACAAUAAAUUCAUGUAAAAGUAGGUAGGAUAAUCCUAGCUACCAAAAAUUGUUCGUCAUUAGAUGGUUUGCUUACAUCACUCUUUGAAUCUCCUCUCCUGUGUCUGGCCACCACAAAACCAAGAAAGGACACUGCCAUGAGACUAAAAGAACAGUGUUUCACUUUCCCUGUCCCUCUCUUUUCAUUUGCCUUGUGCGCUUAGUUGUUACAUUCUGACGGAAAAGCUUGCAACCCCAUUUCUUUAUUUACUCUCCUUUCUCCUCACAUUAGCCUUCUCCUAUUAAAAUAGCUAAAAAGCAAAGGGCUUUCUCUGAAAAUGUUUCUGAGGUUACCUGCCAUGAACAGGAGUUUGAACAGAGAGAAUCCAUAUAUUUUGAUUAUGAUGAUUGCAGGGAAACAGAUAAUAAGGGGUGUUGAGGAGGACAAAAGAGAUCAGAGAGAGAGCCAAGACAUGGGCCCAGUAAAGCCUGCAACACAAAUGAGUGCCACUGCACCAAACACUGAUCUCUUCACCCUUCUCCUCCAUCUUCCCCUCUUUUCUGCCUCUUUACCUUUCCCUCUUAAUUUAUGGCUUUUUUUGUAUUUCCAUUCGUCUCCAACAUCCCCACUUCCUUUUUCAUUCUCUUUUCGACUUUGACUCACUUUUUUCCUUUCCAUGCUCUUCUUCUUCUUCAACUUCUUGUCUUUAAUGUGCAAGGCUAGAGGAAAGCUUGAUGGGGUCUAAGGAAACCACACUCUUGUUUUGGGGUUUCGACGCUUGAAGAAAAAGAUUUUUCUGUUCAUGCAAAAGAAACCAACACAACUUUCGUGUAGCCUUCUUUUUCAUUUUCCUUUCACAUUCUUGUAGGUUCUCCAAAGACAACAUAUAUUGGCAAGGAGUUGUUAAGUGAAGGUCGGUUGUGCUAGCUCUUCACGUCUAUUGUCUGUCAGUUGAUAUUUAUAUAACUAAUCUAAAAGCACUCUUUGAUUAUCUUUUAUUUAUCCAUUUGCUUAUUUUAUCAUUUCAGUUUUGUUUUCUAGUUUAUCAAAGUAAACCUUUUCAGGAAGACAACUUCUAAAUCAAUAGCCUCAUUUAUUAAUUACUUGUUAUCUGAUGGAGAGAGAGAUGUAUAUCGCUCCACUGGAGAUUUCUGGUCGAGGUGAUACAGUAAUAGAUGAAAUAUCCCAACAUCCCACCUCAAAUCCUCUCAUUCAGUGCUAUUCACUUGACCUUAACAACCAAUCCCACAUCAUAAAUGGAAUUUCAAUGCUUUCUGGAGAGCAAGGUGAACCUACAAGUAAUGUCCAUACUGAUGCUUGCUUCAUUACUCCAUCAACUAUUGCUGACUCCUGUCCAUUAGUUACAUCACGGAGAAAGAUUAUUGUGGGAGAUGCCUCAAAUCCCAUGGAGAACUCUGAUUUUCAAGAGCAUUUAGUUGGAGGAGUGCCCCUCACUCCUGCUUCGCUAGCUGCCAUUCUUGCUGAUAGAAUUGGACUUGAAGAAAAUUUGGAGAAUUCAGCCGCCGCCCUAGCUCCCUCAAUCUUCUCCACGGGGGCACUAGAGGUAUUCUUCAACAAUUUGCAUGGUACUUCAAACCCUUUGUCUGGAAUUUUUGAGGAGUGUGGGUACAAUGAAGGUCCUAGUAAGUGGAAUGCUAACAAAUUUCCUAAAGCUCCAGAGAAUGAUGGAACUUGUCAGCCUUAUUCUUCUGUGGCAAACUUGGAUCCAAAUGAAUGGGCAACAUCAAACGUUGCAAACAUGGCCAAUUAUGCUCACUAUUCCUCUACUUUUAGUAAAGAACUUUCUCUGAGUCUUGCAACAUCUACAGCCGCAGGACAGUGCUCAAACGUGACUUGCUCUAAUAUGACCCCGUGCAUGAAUGGAACCAUUUCCUGCAGCAGUAGUAGGGAAAUUUCUAUGAAUUUGGGUGGUAAUAAAUAUGCACAAAUUUCACCGGAAGUACUGGAAUCGAGAUACCUUCUUGGGAUUCAAGAGAUACUUGCUCAAGUUGCAAGAUAUUCAUUUCAAAAUCCUGAACAGUUAAACUAUUCAGCCACUGGUAAUAGAGCAGGUGGACACAAGUCAACUUCAGCGUUUCCACCCAAGAGAAACAUCUUGACAGAUCACAAUGCAAGUUCUGUUUACGAAUCUCAUGCAGAGUCUCCAUUGCAAAGGCAGGCUUCUGAAUCUAAGAAAGCUCAACUGCUGGCACUUCUACAACUGGUGGACAGUCGAUACAGCCAGUGUUUGGAUGAGAUACAUACUGUUGUAUCUGCAUUCCAUGCAGCUACCGAGCUGGACCCACAGAUACAUGCACAUUUUGCUCUUCAAACCAUCUCUGUCCUUUACAAGGACUUACGGGAGAGGAUUAGCAACUACAUUCUUGCCAUGGGAUCAAGCUUCAAAAAAUCGUGCACGGAAGACAGUGAAUGGUCCAUUGAAACUUCAUUCCUUCAAAAGCAAUGGGCUCUCCAGCAGUUGAAAAGAAAAGAUCAGCUGUGGAGGCCCCAGAGAGGCUUGCCGGAAAGAUCUGUCUCGGUUCUACGGGCAUGGAUGUUUCAGAAUUUCCUACACCCGUAUCCCAAAGAUGCAGAGAAGCAUUUACUUGCAGUGAAAAGUGGGUUGACUAGAAGUCAGGUAUCCAACUGGUUUAUAAAUGCUCGUGUGCGGCUGUGGAAACCUAUGAUUGAAGAGAUGUAUGCUGAAAUGAACAAAAGAAAGGCCUGUCGAAAUGAAGAAGAAAUCCAGAAUAACCAUGGAAACAGGAUAAGCAUGAGUAAUCAAAGGUUUAAUGUUAACUAAAGGUGUACGAAGUCGCAUAACGAUAUAAAUCACCUUUUUUCUUUAUUCAAAUAGAAAACAGAACUGAGGCCAAAAUCUGAGCUUAUUGUUUUGCAUGUAAAUGGGUGAAGCUGUAAAAGCGGAUAAGGUUCUUAAGAAGGUAAAGUCCAACAUUGAAAGAGGCUCGUGUUAAGGCAAAGUACCAGGUUGACGCCAUUAGUCAUGCCAUGGAGGUUUGGGCAUACCUGCAAGAACUAUCAAGUUCGUCAUUGUAGAAAAAAACUAUUACAUAUACUAUCUAUGAU